CCUACGGGAGGCAGCAGUGGGGAAUAUUGCACAAUGGGGGAAACCCUGAUGCAGCGACGCCGCGUGAAGGAAGAAGUAUUUCGGUAUGUAAACUUCUAUCAGCAGGGAAGAAAAUGACGGUACCUGACUAAGAAGCCCCGGCUAACUACGUGCCAGCAGCCGCGGUAAGACGUAGGGGGCAAGCGUUAUCCGGAUUUACUGGGGGUAAAGGGAGCGUAGGCGGUUUAGCAAGUCAGAAGUGAAAGCCCGGGGCUGAAACUCGGGACUGCUUUUGAAACUGUUGAACUAGAUGGCAGGAGAGGUAAGUGGAAUUCCUAGUGUAGCGGUGAAAUGCGUAGAUAUUAGGAGGAACACCAGUGGCGAAGGCGGCUUACUGGACUGUAAAUGACGCUGAGGCUCGAAAGCGUGGGGAGCAAACAGGAUUAGAUACCCGGGUAGUC
rnacentral:rRNA from 1 species